AAGUUGCAAAGCACUUUGAAGAGAGAGUUAAAGAGGACGUGAAACCGGUGAGGAGGAAACGGAUAGAGUCGGCGUAUCUUGCAAGUAUUCAAUUACUUUAUUAUUGUGUUGUUAUCUCUGAGCUCCAGAUUGGGACAGAGGAAAGCAGCAUGAUUUWAUGUGAUGCAUUUACUUGUYUGGUGUGUGGGGGUAUCUAAGAUGGAUUUGCAACCAAUGUUUUGAGGCCAGCUUGCUGGUACCCAAACAUUGUUAACAUUUUUUAUCUUGGAUAUUCGAGUACGGCUUACGUGCAUUUUUUGUAUUGAUCUAAGUGCAAGUUACGGUCGCAUGCGACACGUGCUUUUCAUUUAGUUCGGUGCAGUUAAUGCUCUCGUACUCUCCCCCCAUGUAAAAGCCGGUCAUCUAUUUGACCCGUCUUGAAACACGGACCAAGGAGUUUAUCGUGUGCGCAAGUUUUUGGGUGUUAAAAACCUAGAAGCGAAAUGAAAGUAAAUGAUUCUUUAGAGUCUGAUGUGCAAUCUUUUUUCAGAAAAGUGCAUCAUGGCCCCAUUCUAACUGUUUACAGUAGGGUGGCGGAAGAGCGUACGCGGUGAGACCCGAAAGAUGGUGAACUAUUCCUGAGCAGGACGAAGCCAGAGGAAACUCUGGU
rnacentral:rRNA from 1 species